rnacentral:rRNA from 1 species
GACAGAGGGUGCAAACGUUGCUCGGAAUUACUGGGCGUAAAGCGCGUGUAGGUGGAUGGUGUGUCAGAUGUGAAAUCCCUGGGCUCAACCCAGGAACUGCACCUGAAACUACCAGUCUUGAGUGGUGGAGAGGGAAGUGGAAUUCCUGGUGUAGAGGUGAAAUUCGUAGAUAUCAGGAGGAACACCAGUGGCGAAGGCGGCUUCCUGGACACCAACUGACGCUGAGACGCGAAAGCGUGGGGAGCAAACAGG